rnacentral:rRNA from 1 species
CAGCCGCCACGGUAAUACGGAGGGUGCAAGCGUUAAUCGGAAUUACUGGGCGUAAAGCGUGCGUAGGUGGUGGUUUAAGUCCGUUGUGAAAGCCCUGGGCUCAACCUGGGAAUUGCAGUGGAUACUGGGUCACUAGAGUGUGGUAGAGGAUAGUGGAAUUUCCGGUGUAGCAGUGAAAUGCGUAGAGAUCGGAAGGAACAUCUGUGGCGAAGGCGACUAUCUGGGCCAACACUGACACUGAGGCACGAAAGCGUGGGGAGCAAACAGGAUUAGAUACCCCUGUAGUCCCUGUCUCUUAUAC